AUACCCUUAAUCAAGAUGGAUUAUGCAGAUGCAGUACUUAACAGUUUUAAUCUAUCCAACAGUUGUUAUAAAUAUGACCAGCAAUCGCUUCUCGGCCUUUUGGCUAAGAUCAAGUGUAGUAUAAAUAUGACCAGCAGAGAAAAAUAUAUGUGCCAAAUGGCCUCUCCACUGGAAAAUAUAAUAUUACCCACAGUUGUUCAAACCCUCCAUUGUGGAUGUGUUUUCACGAGUACACGUAAAGAGUGGCUGCUGAGUGGAAAAGAUGCUGCUGGGUUUCAGUGAAUCCGUCCCUCCCCACAUCUGCCAUCUGCACAGGCACCAAAACCAAGAGAGGAAGCAACAGAGGACCUGGGACAAUCAUGUAAACUACUUUCAAAUUGUAGGCGUAAAUCAUUAACUUCAAUUAAAGGACAAAAUUUGAUUCAAAACUGCUCCCACUUCCUGUAUGCCACACUGGGUGCUCUAUAAAGAUUUAAGUCCUCAAAUUAGAAUGUUGUAAUAACAAAGCGACAAGAAUUUCAGAUUAUUCCUAGCCACAUGAAUUUGGAAGACACUUUAUCU
rnacentral:lncRNA from 1 species